GAUGAACGCUGGCGGCGUGCCUAAUACAUGCAAGUCGAGCGAACAGACGAGGAGCUUGCUCCUCUGACGUUAGCGGCGGACGGGUGAGUAACACGUGGAUAACCUACCUAUAAGACUGGGAUAACUUCGGGAAACCGGAGCUAAUACCGGAUAAUAUAUUGAACCGCAUGGUUCAAUAGUGAAAGACGGCUUUGCUGUCACUUAUAGAUGGAUCCGCGCCGCAUUAGCUAGUUGGUAAGGUAACGGCUUACCAAGGCAACGAUGCGUAGCCGACCUGAGAGGGUGAUCGGCCACACUGGAACUGAGACACGGUCCAGACUCCUACGGGAGGCAGCAGUAGGGAAUCUUCCGCAAUGGGCGAAAGCCUGACGGAGCAACGCCGCGUGAGUGAUGAAGGUCUUCGGAUCGUAAAACUCUGUUAUGAGGGAAGAACAAAUGUGUAAGUAACUAUGCACGUCUUGACGGUACCUAAUCAGAAAGCCACGGCUAACUACGUG
rnacentral:rRNA from 1 species